rnacentral:rRNA from 1 species
UACGUAGGGGGCAAGCGUUAUCCGGAUUUACUGGGUGUAAAGGGAGCGUAGACGGCAUGGCAAGCCAGAUGUGAAAUACCGGGGCUCAACCCCGGGACUGCAUUUGGAACUGUUAAGCUGGAGUGUCGGAGAGGCAGGCGGAAUUCCUAGCGUAGCGGUGAAAUGCGUAGAUAUUAGGAGGAACACCAGUGGCGAAGGCGGCCUGCUGGACGAUAACUGACGUUGAGGCUCGAAAGCGUGGGGAGCAAACAGG